GCGGGACCCACCAGGAGCAGGCUGCCCUUUGGGGGUUCCCCCUCCCUCGGGGCGCACACAGCCCCCCCGCAGCCCCCGGCUCCGUGCCCCCACCGGGCGCUUUCCUCCCUGCUCGGGGUGGGAAGGAUCCGGCCCCGCGCUGGGGGUGCAAGCUGGGGCCGAGGGCUCCGGUUUUGCCACCGCCCGGAGCGUGACACCGUCACCGUCACCCCGUGUGGCACCCGUGGGUGGCACCCGGAGCCCCGGGGUCCGGCGCCCAGCCCCAAGGGGCCGCGGCGACCUUGGGGAGGUGCUGAGUCAGGCGCCGAAGGCGUUCGGGGUUUUUUGGCCCCGCUUUCUGCCUCUGUCUGUGCUCAGUGGCCGUGAUUCCUCACCGGAGGGGUGGAGAAGCAGAAAACCCACUGCCCCCCCCCACCACCCCCAAGGAGGGUUCCCUGCUGUCAGACCCCACAGCGGGGGUGCUGUGGGUUUUGGGGGUGCGGCCCCUCCUGUGGCCCCACUGCAUCCCGCAGGAGGGGCUGCGCUGAGGGCAGAGCCCAGGGCACGUUGCUGGUGCUGCAGUGCAAGAUUUGGGGCGUGCAGCCCCUUUCUGGGGGGGUUCUGCAACGGGGGGGGGGGUUCCCCCCGCGUGCCCAUGGGGCUGCGUUACGCCCUCGUAGCCAGGACCAGGAGGGGGCCGUCUCCAGCACGGGGCUGCUGCUCUUUGGACUUUGUCCCUUCCCGUCCCUUCAUGUCCCAGCUUGCGGCGCUGGGAGGGGGGACAGCAUCUCCCCCCCCCCUGCCCCGGGCCCCCAGGGAGCAGCAGCGCGGGGCGGCCAGGCCGGCUGCCAGCACCGCUACCGGGCGUUAUCGGGGCCGAGCCGGCCCCAGGAGGGGUCCCCGAUGGGGGCAGCACGAUUACGGGGGCAGCGGCGGGACGGGGGCCGCGCCUGCCCUGCGCCGUGCCGAUAGCGGGGCGCGGAGCGGCGUCGCGGCGGGGAUGCUCGGGCCGGAGCCGUGCCCGGCCCCCCCGGUGGGCUCGGGUGGACCCCCCCGACCCAUUUUUAUGUUUCAGGAGGGCAGCGCCAUGGCCGAGAAGACGUCGCCGGGCCCCGGGGGGGGCAUCACGCCCCUGCAGCAGA
rnacentral:lncRNA from 1 species